GAAGUAAGCUUAAUGGAACCAAAAAGUUUUGAUGAGAUGCCUCAAGCUAUUCAAGCUUUAAGAGAGAGGAAAACUGUGAUUCUUAAUUUAACCAUGAUGGAUCCUGAUCAGGCACACAGAGGGGAUGAGGCACCCCGAGGGGUUUUGUGGGCCUUUUAUUAUUCAGAAGAGAGAGUGGGUUGGAGUAACGAGUUCGGCCUGGUUCAAGUCCAGGACGGCCCAUAUCUCUAUGUUGGGGGUAUAGNUCAGNNGGUAGAGCGCCUGCUUUGCAAGCAGGAUGUCAGCGGUUCGAGUCCGCUUACCUCCACUGUUCACCACCUCUUCCAUAAUUUGUAGAAGGGAAUUGUUUUGAGNUGUGAUCAAAUUCUGAACGAAUCUAGCUUCCUAAUCAAUUUGAUUAAGAUGCUGGACUCAAUUGAAUUAAUUUGAUUGUUUUCAGAGAACCUUGACAANUGNAUAGAUUAUUUUUUUUAAAGACAAUAAGCAUCUUUAAUGAUGCAGAUUUAUUAUUUGUGCAAAUGCAUUAAAUAACAAUUCUAUUAAGCUGAUGCUUCAAUUUUGAAGUCAUU
rnacentral:tRNA from 1 species